CACGGGGGGUGCAAGCGUUAUUCGGAAUCACUGGGCGUAAAGAGCGCGUAGGCGGUCUCUUAAGUCAGAUGUGAAAGCCCGGGGCUCAACCCCGGAAGUGCAUUUGAAACUAAGGGACUUGAGUAUGGGAGAGGGAAGUGGAAUUCCUGGUGUAGCGGUGAAAUGCGUAGAUAUCAGGAGGAACACCGGUGGCGAUGGCGACUUCCUGUACCAAUACUGACGCUGAGGCGCGAAGGCGUGAGGAGCAAUCAGG
rnacentral:rRNA from 1 species